GUGUCAGCCGCCGCGGUAAGACGAAGGGGGCUAGCGUUGUUCGGAAUUACUGGGCGUAAAGCGCGUGUAGGCGGUUGUCCAAGUCGGGUGUGAAAGCCUUGAGCUCAACUCAAGAAAUGCACUCGGUACUGGGUGACUAGAGGACCGGAGAGGAUAGUGGAAUUCCCAGUGUAGUGGUGAAAUACGUAGAGAUUGGGAAGAACACCAGUGGCGAAGGCGGCUAUCUGGACGGUUUCUGACGCUAAGACGCGAAAGCGUGGGGAGCAAACAGGAUUAGAUACCCUGGUAGUCCACGCCGUAAACGAUGGGUGCUAGACGUUGGCGAGCUUGCUCGUCAGUGUCGCAGCUAACGCGUUAAGCACCCCGCCUGGGGAGUACGGCCGCAAGGUUGAA
rnacentral:rRNA from 1 species